UGAAACCCUCAAGGGGAAGAAAGACCCUUGAGGGGUGUGAUGGUGUGUAUAUGCUCAACCCAGGAUGUGGCACUAUUAGAAAGUAUGACCUGUUGGAGGAGGUGUGUCACUGUGGGUGUGAGCUUUAAGGCUCUCAUCCUAGCUGCCUGGAAGCUAGUACUCUCCUAGCAGCCUUCAGAAGAAUAUAUAGAACUCUCAUCUCCUCCUGUACCAUGCCUGCCUGGAUGCUGUCACAUUCCUGCCUUGAUGAUAAUAGAACCUCUGAAUCUGUAAGCCAGCCCCAAUUAAAUGUCCUUAUGAGAGUCGCCUUGGUCAUGGUGUCUGUUCACAGCAGUAAAACCCUAAGUCAAAGGGAAAAGGUUCUCACUCAUGCCCUGAGAGAACACAAAUACUAGUCCAAUGUCCUUGAAAGCUCUGGAAGGGGUGGCUCAAGCUUUAGGUACCAUGGCUAGAAUUAGACUCUGCACAGGAUGGAUACAAAAUCUGAGGCAUUCCUCCAGCUCAAACCCUACCCAUCUACCAAACCCUGAAUUCACCCUGAAAGAGACCCAGCAGACGGAUAUGGCUGGACGAUUUGGCUGCUUUAUGGGUUCCUCUUGCUUUCCCAUCCUUCUCCAAUCCAAUCCCUUCCAACCCCACGACACUAAAUAGGAGAGAAAGACAUGUUAGAUCACUUCCUGCUGAUUAGGGGCGUCGAGUUCCUUAGGGCAAGUUUAAUCCUGUCAGGAUAGCGCCAACAAGCAACCAGCAGCCAGCAGCCAACAACCAACAGCAGGAGGAGCAGUCGCUGCUGCACCCCUCUUGGGGCUCUAGCAUUUGUAUCUGCAGCUGGCACAAUCACUCCCCUGCCAAAGCAUGAGGCAAAUCAUAGUCUGCUGCUGUGGACAUUCUAAAGCAGCCCCAUUUCCCACACCUGGGAUUAAAACAAAACUAUAUUCCUAUAACCUGCAAGGAUGGUAUGGGAAUUUGCAAGAUGGUACAUAUUUUUAAAAUUAAUUUUCCUUUAUUUUUAUUUUAUACAUAUAGGUGUUUUGUGUGUAUGUAUGCUUGUGCCCCACAUGUGUGUAAUCCCUGAAGAGGCCAUAGGAAGGCACUAGAUUCUGUGGGACUGAAGUUAUAUACAUGGUUGUGAGUCACACUAUAUAGGUGCUGGGAAUCAAGCUCUAGUCCUCUGGAAGAGCGGUCAGUGCUCUUAACCAUGGAGUCCUCUUGCCAUCCCCCACCCCCAUAUUUUUAAUGUAUACUUCAAAACAAUUACAAGAUAGGCCAAGAUACUAAGUAUUUUAAUUUAUUAAUUUAAAUAAAGACAUAGAGCAAAAGAGAAAUGUUUCCCUGGAACUUAAUCUCUCAGGAAUGUAUACUCAGGGUUACUCGUUUCAUCAACAAGGGUAUCAAAUGCCAAGGGACAGGGUGUUAGACACAUCAUGGCUAUAGUAUACGGCUCAUUCUCAAGCAAGAAGGCCAGGGCAGGUGAUUCUGCUGCCCAAGUGUAAGCAAGAAUGCCUUAUUCUACUGUGAGACCCCCCGACUUAAAGCAUUUCUCCCUGAAAGGUAAAGCCCCUGGACAUUCCUCAAGCUUGUUUGCCCUGAUCUCUAAAAAUACAGCCAGAAAGAAGCUCUUUGUUCUCUAUAGCCAGCAAAAAGCCUUUUUGUUUCUGUGCCUUACAGCCAGAGAUGCGAUGAUUGUGGGGAGACCUAGCCAGGCGCUUGCUUGGCUCCCUGUGCCAAGGACAUGGAGAUAGAUUCCACAGAGAAGAGCUGUAGCCAAACUCCUCCCAACUCCUCCCAACUCUCCUCCCAACUCCUCCCAAUUCCUCAGCUAGCUGUUAAAAGCCCCCUACUGUUACCGCUCAAGGUCGAACUCCCCUGCCCUGUGUGGGGAAAGGAGUUCGCCCUCAGCUAGCUGACAAUAAAACCUCUUGCAGUUUGCAUCAGGUGUGGUCUUCUCUCAAGUUAUUGAGGUGCCGGCCAGCUCAUCCCGGGACUUGAGCAGAGGUCUCCCCAGUUUCGGGGGUCUUACACUACCUGUGUGUAUCUGUUCCAGCUGAGACUUCAUAGUUGAAUGCGACAGAGAACUGAAAGAACGCUAAGAUGAGGGAGCAGCUGGCACACAAGAUCAUCUGAAAACAGCAGUGUUAGAUCGGGCCUCCUACAUCAGGGACAGAAGAGAAGUUCAGCAAAGACCCUUUCUUGGGUCCUGUCUUUUGUUCCUUCUACCUAAGCCUUGUCCAGGAUUCCCUAUCUCCUAGGCACUGUGAUACAUCAAGGCCAUCGGUGCUGAUCUAACUAGCCUGUGAAAUAAGCUAUGCAGUAGAACAAGUGGAAACCAGAGGCGGUGCAAUGGAAAACAUUAUGCAAAUGUGAAAGUUGUUAGUCAUUAGGGAAAUGCAAAUUUUAACUACCCCGAGAAAUCACUUUAUAUUCACCAGGUUGGUCGUAAUCAAAAAAAAAAAAAAAUGGAAAAUAACAAAUGUUGGCAAGGAUAUAGAGACAUUGGAAGCCUCGUGCAUUCGCUGGUGGGAAUGUGAAAUGGCACAGCAGCUGUGGAGUCAGCUGUGGAAACGGUUGGUGUUUCCUCUGAAGUUAAAUGGAGAAUUACCGUAUUACCCUGCAAUUCCACUUCAAAGCGUACGGUCAAGAGAAAUGAAAACAACAGGUGUUCAAACACCUUUUUGUUGACCCAAAAAUGACAUCACAGAACUUUUUUAAGUACAAAAACUUUUAUGUAUACAAUUAAAAAUAUAUACAUGUCUAUGCUCAAAGACUUUGUAAUGUAAAUUGGGAGAUAAAAUAAAUGUAAUAAA
rnacentral:lncRNA from 1 species